ACUGCUGACUGUUCGAAAACUCACUUGAAUACUUUGUGGAGCUGUAUUUAGCUUCGAUUACAAUGUGAAUGCAUUGUUUCACUCCAGCACAUCCCAAAGACUUUCAAUGGAGUUAAAGUCAGGAAUGAUUCCCUGAACAACUCUUUGACCGUCUGAGCUGAUGAAUCCUGGAAUACGGCCUCGUACAUGGUUGUUUGAGAAGUGAAAAGUCGCACGCUGCUUCAAAUAGCCUCGUUUCCAGACACGUUACAAACGUAUUAAUCACUGCGAAUCAUGAUCUAAUCCCAGCUUCUGAAGUAUUUGCUCAUUAAAAUCCAAACAGCAGUGUAUUGCAGGUGAAUCUGUGAGUGUCGUAAUGUGUACGACUGUCGUUUGGCACGCAAAACUCGACCCUGUCGCCCUCUGGGCAGCUGCACGACAACGGCAAAACAGCUUUUCCGCCGUUUUCCCAUCAGCCGCGGUUUGAUUUAUGACUCCGGCGCAGGAAUUUCUCUCAAAUACCUCCAGGAUGUUCUGAAGUUUUACGGACUCUUUCUGUUCACAGAUGGCCUGUGAUCCUGUCGUGAGUGGCUUUGUUUUCUCUUUCUACUAGAGAGAAGGCAGAAACUGAACUGGGACUGACUUGAACUGUAACAACAACAACAACAACAACAACAACCAGCACAAACACGUAAAAAAGUGUGAUGAUGCAUUCAAAACACAAACUUUAAUCGCUGCAUCAUUUCAAAGUCAAAUGGAUAUUCUCCCGUAAACAACAGCAGAUCUGAAGUCUGGUCUCACUUCAGACAGACAGCAACACACUCAAGCUUCAUUUGAAAGCCUUUCUUAUCUACGAGAUGAAUGAUAUCAAAUGGCCCGAGGUGACGUGAACGUAUUAACGGAGAGCGUCUGACAGCCGGUCCGUGUGCGCGGAGGGAAGACAGUUGUCCAGGAUUCCCAGAGCAGCGGGGUAAAUCCCAGUCCUGGACAGAUUCCCAGGCGUUGCGUGCAGAAGGGCGGAUCCAGCGGCCCUGCUGCUGCCCAUCGACAUGCAAACAUGUCCAAUAGAAGCCGCAAACCCCCCCUUCACUUCUACGGCACAGCUGGAGGAUCAGAUGUUUACACUGAAGACAGAAGCUGAACUCUGAGAGGCUGUGAAACGUCAGAGCCACGAAUGAACACAGACGCACCGUUCUCUGUGACCAGCACAACAACACGGCCCGUUUCAGCCACAACAUGAACGAACACCAAUUCCCUUUCACAUUUGACUUUUUCACGUCUGGCGUCAGUGUUCAUCAUCUCGUGUGCGGUACAACCGCUGGACAACAAAAUUACAGUCAGUCGUGAAACACUCGAUACGUUCGCAGACUGCGAUGGAAAGCAGCUGUGAAAACAGCAGUAUGCAGCACGGCUCAGAAGAAAUUCCUAAAUAGUCUGAAUUUAUAAACUGCGGCUGAGGAAUGAGCUGGAACAUGUGGCCUCCACGCAAAACAAACCGUGGCACGCAAUCCUCCGACGGACGGCCCCGCUCCGCCAACACACCAUUACUUCAGAGCGCUUUCCUGCUCCUGCGACCCAAAUAGCGCUAAUUCAGCGCAGUCUGCGAGAUACUAACCCUGCGUGUGUUAGAAGUAUUCAACUGUUUGCCUUCAGUCUCAUGUAAAGCAACCACAAAUGAGACCACAAACCCUGUAAUAAAUAAUUCUAGAUAAAAGCAUCUCAAAACACACUUCUCCGAUCAAUUUCUAUGUUCUAUUUAAGUCUACUUCUAUUGAAGUUACAUGAUUUUUAAAGCCUUUCUACUAUGACAUUUAAAUUAAUUUUUGACUGUUACUUUGGCUGUUUUUGCUCUGCCAAUAAAAAUAGAUCAAAACACACAAACAGACACAGCAGAAUGAAGCACUGUGUCUCACUGUUCUGAAUGAAUCUGUUGUUUUGAAUGAACUGUCUGAAUGAAUGAUUCAGUUCUAAAGACGAACUGCUGUAUAAAACC